GUGCCGAGUCAUACGUAAGGGCGAUAACACCCGAGGAAUUUUUAUCGGACCCUUUCCUCGGGAUAUUUCUUAGUGAGGAAUCCCAAUCCGCGAAUUGCUCAUGAUCCAAGAAUAGCCAUUAGUCCUCGACUGCAACCCACAACUCUCAAAUCGGCGCAUAAACUCGCGAUUCUCUGAAAAAAAAAAAUAAAAUGUAGAAGUGCUUCCCACCGAAUGGAAGACACAACUCGAAUCAAGUUCUACGAUAAAACGCAGUUGCAUUAAGAUGAUAAAAAUACCAGAGGUACCAUCGUCCCCGGGAAAUUGCCGUCAUUAAUCUCUGGAAAUUGGCCGAUAAAUCCCGACGCCGUACUCACCGUUUCAUUGGCUUAUCGGUAAUCCACGUGGACGGGCGGUGCAUGUCACCGUGAAUUAAUUGUUCCCACCGCCUCAGGAUAAAUUCAUUUUUUACAAUCUCUUUGUUGUUUUAUUUAUUUAUUUGUUUUGGUUUCUUGUGGGGAUUUUGGAUUCCUGGGGUAUCGAGUCGACUUCGGCUUUUGGGAGGUUUUUUUUUUGGAGUUUGGGUGAAGGGGCGGUUGUUUUUGGAUUGAUAAUUUUGGUUUGAUGGAAAAUGGAAAAUGGAACUGGAAAUGUGAAUUCUUGAAUUAAAAAUAUGAAGUC